UCGAGAAAUGGUCGGAAGCAGGUGAUGAUGCGCUCUCGGUGGCGACCUCUGCCCCGCGCUGGGUAUGAAUCGGCGCGCGUGUGUGAGCGUCGAUCUCAGCAGCGCCGGUGUCUCAAUGUGGGGAAUUUCACUUGAAUCGACACCGGAAUCCAACGCGAAAGCGAAAUGCAAAGCAAGGAGGUCAAAUCCUGAGCUGUGAAUCUGCUGUGGUGGUUAAACGUGAGAUCGCUGCGCUGCGCUUCGCUCACGAUGUAACGCUCCUUCUGAAGCCUGCAAGCGAAUUCAGUUCGACCUCAAUUUUGACAAAAUGGAACAUUUAUAUCCUCCGGAGCAUGAGUGUAGUUACCACGUUGUUAACAUGCUAGCGAAUUCACGUUGAAACCAAUAUUAUUGCGUAAGUUGUUCGAAACUUCAUUCAUUCAUAUUUUCUCUACUGUCCUUCUGAACUCAUUUUGUACAUCUCUUGGAUUAGUGGUACAGAGAUUGAUGCAUUUUGUUGAUGCGCCUACAAAUGCAUAUCAAUCUCUACUUAUACUUCAUACUUGACGUUUAUUCUUCUCGCAACCCAUCGUGAUUUUUAUCACCAGGUCACAUUAAUAAACGUCUCAACAAUCCUUCACAACAAUUGUUAUUUAUUUCGACAAGACAUUCCCACACGGAUACUUUAUGAUUGUUCCCAAGAUGGAUGUUCACAUGGCAAUGCAUCUACUCAAGGAAUUCGGCGCCACCCUUUCCACCAUAUCUGUACCCUUCACAUAUUCAGUAUAACUUUGUUAUGACCUGUUAUUGCUGCUUAGCAUGUCGAGUUUCUAUUGUCACAAGUUCCUUGACUGCAAAGUUCUAUAAUCGCAAGGCAUAUUUCAUGCUCUUCGACUUAAAUUGGCGAGUAAAACUAGUGGUAAAGAGAAAUAUUCAAGAUGGAGAGAAUGCUGGCUGGAGUAUGUAUGCUGACUGAGACAAGUAGCUCACAAAUGUUGAAAAUUCAUGGAAGAAUUCUUUCGUGAUUCUUGUUUAUUGAGGACAUUGCUCUUCGUAACUGAUGUAUCAGUUCCACUUCAGUAGAUCAACAUUCUACAUUCUCACUGUACACAAUGAUAACUGCAUAUGAGUGAAAUCGAGGUACAUAAUUACUAGCGUCUUCAUGCAUUGUAUUCUUCACCCAUUGCUCAUCUACUCAUGUCCAUUUGUCCACUGAUCAUAAAAACAAAUUGAACUGAAACUUAUAAAAACAACUCGUCCCUCACCAUCUCUUC
rnacentral:lncRNA from 1 species